rnacentral:rRNA from 1 species
UACGAAGGGGGCUAGCGUUGCUCGGAAUCACUGGGCGUAAAGGGUGCGUAGGCGGGUUUUUAAGUCAGGGGUGAAAUCCUGGAGCUCAACUCCAGAACUGCCUUUGAUACUGAAGAUCUUGAGUCCGGGAGAGGUGAGUGGAACUGCGAGUGUAGAGGUGAAAUUCGUAGAUAUUCGCAAGAACACCAGUGGCGAAGGCGGCUCACUGGCCCGGUACUGACGCUG